UAGGGAAUAUUGGACAAUGGACGCAAGUCUGAUCCAGCCAUGCCGCGUGCAGGAAGACGGCCCUAUGGGUUGUAAACUGCUUUUAUACAGGAAGAAACCUUUCCACGUGUGGAGAGCUGACGGUACUGUAAGAAUAAGGACCGGCUAACUCCGUGCCAGCAGCCGCGGUAAUACGGAGGGUCCGAGCGUUAUCCGGAAUUAUUGGGUUUAAAGGGUCCGUAGGCGGAUGAUUAAGUCAGGGGUGAAAGUUUGCAGCUCAACUGUAAAAUUGCCUUUGAUACUGGUUAUCUUGAGUUGUAUUGAAGUAGGCGGAAUAUGUAGUGUAGCGGUGAAAUGCAUAGAUAUUACAUAGAACACCAAUUGCGAAGGCAGCUUACUAAGUACUAACUGACGCUGAUGGACGAAAGCGUGGGUAGCGAACAGGAUUAGAUACCCUGGUAGUCCACGCCGUAAACGAUGGAUACUAGCUGUUCGGGACCUUGAGUUCUGAGCGGCUAAGCGAAAGUGAUAAGUAUCCCACCUGGGGAGUACGUUCGCAAGAAUGAAACUCAAAGGAAUUGACGGGGGCCCGCACAAGCGGUGGAGCAUGUGGUUUAAUUCGAUGAUACGCGAGGAACCUUACC
rnacentral:rRNA from 1 species